rnacentral:rRNA from 1 species
CAUCCUCCAAGGCUAAAUACUCCUGACUGACCGAUAGUGAACCAGUACCGUGAGGGAAAGGCGAAAAGAACCCCGGCGAGGGGAGUGAAAAAGAACCUGAAACCGUGUACGUACAAGCAGUGGGAGCACCCUUCGGGGUGUGACUGCGUACCUUUUGUAUAAUGGGUCAGCGACUUAUAUUCUGUAGCAAGGUUAACCGAAUAGGGGAGCCGGAGGGAAACCGAGUCUUAAUUGGGCGUUAAGUUGCAGGGUAUAGACCCGAAACCCGGUGAUCUAGCCAUGGGCAGGUUGAAGGUUGGGUAACACUAACUGGAGGACCGAACCGACUAAUGUUGAAAAAUUAGCGGAUGACCUGUGGCU